AUGCGACCGCCCACCAUGGCUCGUAACGAGGAGAAGGCGCAGUCCUUGCUCAACCGCUUCACCACGAUGAAGCAGGAGGAGAAGCGCAAGCCCCGCGAGCGCCGGCCGUACCUCGCCUCCGAGUGCCGGGACCUCGCCGACGCCGACCGCUGGCAUGGCGAGAUCCUGCGCGAGAUCGGCGCCAAGUUGGCGGAGAUCCAGAACGAGGGCCUCGGGGAGCACCGCCUCCGAGACCUCAACGACGAGAUCAACAAGCUCCUCCGCGAGCGCAGCCACUGGGAGCGCCGCAUCCUCGAGCUCGGAGGCCGCGACUACUCUCGGAGCUCCAACGCCGCCCUGAUGACCGACCUCGACGGCAACAUCGUCGCCAUCCCCAACCCCUCGGGCCGUGGACCGGGCUACCGCUACUUUGGCGCUGCCAAGAAGCUCCCCGGCGUCCGCGAGCUAUUUGACAAGCCACCUGAGGUCCGCAAGCGGGGCACCCGCUACGGGGUCCACAAGCGCAUCAAUGCCGGCUACUGCGGAUACUAUUACUAUGACGACGAGGACGGUGCGCUUGAACCCCACGAGGCUGCUGCUGAGAAGCGCAUGCGGCACGAACUUGUCACGGAGUGGCACCGUGUGGAGCAGGAGGCCAUGAAGAAUGUGGCGAGUGGCUGCAAGUGA
rnacentral:rRNA from 1 species